UCCACUAUGGUUCAGUGGUAGAAUCGCCCACAAACGUUUGAUUUUCGACGUCGGGAGGUCGGAGGCUCGAUUCCUCCUAGUGGCA